CCUACGGGAGGCAGCAGUGGGGAAUAUUGGGCAAUGGGCGCAAGCCUGACCCAGCAACGCCGCGUGAAGGAAGAAGGUCUUCGGGUUGUAAAGUUCUUUUAUUGGGGAUGAACAAAGUGACGGUACCUGACUAGCAAGCCACGGCUAACUACGUGCCAGCAGCCGCGGUAAUACGUAGGUGGCAAGCGUUAUCCGGAUUUACUGGGCGUAAAGGGUGCGUAGGUGGGUGAGUAAGUUGGACGUGAAAUUCCGGGGCUCAACCCCGGCGCUACCGCCAAAACUGUUAGUCUUGAGUGCAGGAGAGGUAAGCGGAAUUCCGUGUGUAGCGGUGGAAUGCGUAGAUAUUAGGAGGAACACCAGGGGCGAAGGCGACUUACUGGACAGUAACUGACGCUGAGGCACGAAAGCGUGGGGAGCAAACAGGAUUAGAUACCCGAGUAGUC
rnacentral:rRNA from 1 species